UACGGAGGAUGCAAGCGUUAUCCGGAUUUAUUGGGUUUAAAGGGUCCGCAGGUUGUUUGAUAAGUCAGUGGUGAAAGUCUGUCGCUUAACGGUAGGAUUGCCAUUGAUACUGUUAGACUUGAAUAUGGAUGAGGUAGGCGGAAUGUGUAGUGUAGCGGUGAAAUGCAUAGAUAUUACACAGAACACCGAUUGCGAAGGCAGCUUACUAAUCCAUCAUUGACGCUGAGGCACGGAAGCGUGGGGAUCAAACAGGA
rnacentral:rRNA from 1 species